rnacentral:rRNA from 1 species
UAACAAGGUCUCCGUAGGUGAACCUGCGGAGGGACAAUU